rnacentral:rRNA from 1 species
GUAGGUGGGGUAACGGCUCACCUAGGCGACGAUCCCUAGCUGGUCUGAGAGGAUGACCAGCCACACUGGAACUGAGACACGGUCCAGACUCCUACGGGAGGCAGCAGUGGGGAAUAUUGCACAAUGGGCGCAAGCCUGAUGCAGCCAUGCCGCGUGUGUGAAGAAGGCCUUCGGGUUGUAAAGCACUUUCAGCGGGGAGGAAGGCGGUGAGGUUAAUAACCUCACCGAUUGACGUUACCCGCAGAAGAAGCACCGGCUAACUCCGUGCCAGCAGCCGCGGUAAUACGGAGGGUGCAAGCGUUAAUCGGAAUUACUGGGCGUAAAGCGCACGCAGGCGGUCUGUCAAGUCGGAUGUGAAAUCCCCGGGCUCAACCUGGGAACUGCAUUCGAAACUGGCAGGCUAGAGUCUUGUAGAGGGGGGUAGAAUUCCAGGUGUAGCGGUGAAAUGCGUAGAGAUCUGGAGGAAUACCGGUGGCGAAGGCGGCCCCCUGGACAAAGACUGACGCUCAGGUGCGAAAGCGUGGGGAGCAAACAGGAUUAGAUACCCUGGUAGUCCACGCUGUAAACGAUGUCGAUUUGGAGGUUGUGCCCUUGAGGCGUGGCUUCCGGAGCUAACGCGUUAAAUCGACCGCCUGGGGAGUACGGCCGCAAGGUUAAAACUCAAAUGAAUUGACGGGGGCCCGCACAAGCGGUGGAGCAUGUGGUUUAAUUCGAUGCAACGCGAAGAACCUUACCUGGUCUUGACAUCCACAGAACUUUCCAGAGAUGGAUUGGUGCCUUCGGGAACUGUGAGACAGGUGCUGCAUGGCUGUCGUCAGCUCGUGUUGUGAAAUGUUGGGUUAAGUCCCGCAACGAGCGCAACCCUUAUCCUUUGUUGCCAGCGGUCCGGCCGGGAACUCAAAGGAGACUGCCAGUGAUAAACUGGAGGAAGGUGGGGAUGACGUCAAGUCAUCAUGGCCCUUACGACCAGGGCUACACACGUGCUACAAUGGCAUAUACAAAGAGAAGCGACCUCGCGAGAGCAAGCGGACCUCAUAAAGUAUGUCGUAGUCCGGAUUGGAGUCUGCAACUCGACUCCAUGAAGUCGGAAUCGCUAGUAAUCGUAGAUCAGAAUGCUACGGUGAAUACGUUCCCGGGCCUUGUACACACCGCCCGUCACACCAUGGGAGUGGGUUGCAAAAGAAGUAGGUAGCUUAACCUUCGGGAGGGCGCUUACCACUUUGUGAUUCAUGACUGGGGUGAAGUCGUAACAAGGUAACCGUAGGGGAACCUGCGGUUGGAUCACCUCCUUACCUUAAAGAA